rnacentral:rRNA from 1 species
GAUGAACGCUAGCGGCAGGCCUAAUACAUGCAAGUCGAACGGUGUCUUCGGACAUAGUGGCGCACGGGUGCGUAACACGUAUGCAACCUACCUUACAUUGGGGGAUAGCCUUUCGAAAGGGAGAUUAAUACCGCAUAAGACAGUAGCUGGGCAUCCAGCAGCUGUUAAGGAUUUAUCGAUGUAAGCUGGGCAUGCGUCCAAUUAGCUAGUCGGUGAGGUAACGGCUCACCAAGGCAAUGAUUGGUAGGGGAACAGAGAGGUCAAUCCCCCACACUGGCACUGAGAUACGGGCCAGACUCCUACGGGAGGCAGCAGUAGGGAAUAUUGGGCAAUGGACGCAAGUCUGACCCAGCCAUGCCGCGUGCAGGAUGAAGGCGUUAUGCGUUGUAAACUGCUUUUAUACAGGAAGAAACGACUCUUGCGAGAGGCAUUGACGGUACUGUGUGAAUAAGCACCGGCUAACUCCGUGCCAGCAGCCGCCGUAACAC